ACAUAGGAUCAAAAGCCAAGAACACAGAGGGAAAUAAAAUGGCAUAUAGCUAAAAAUUCUUUACUACUGACUGCGAAAUAAAUCCCUCUUGCUUUCUAAUGCAUACCCAAAGAAUGAAUCAUUGGUCAGAGAUCAUAAAAGAAGGAUAUCAAACCAUGAAAAGUGCCCUGAGGUCCCUGCAAAUUGGUGUAGCUAUGACAUUUAUCCCCCAGUCUUCCCCCCUGGUAGGAUGGUUGCUAUAACAAACAAGAACUCCCAUAUCUUUCCUAUGUCAGUGGGCUGUUCAUGGGCAGCAUAAAUCCAGCAGCAUCUUCUUCCAAGGACUGAGCGAGUGACUCGUGUUUUUUAAUGUUAGUCUGAGUAUAUGUAGUCAUUAUGUAUUCUGCUGAUUGAUCAAAAUAUUACCCAAUCUGCAGAAUCCAUCCAGGUGACUGAAGAGACUCAGCAUCUGAGAAUUCUAGGAACUGAGUGAAACUGUAAGCCUUGUAGAUAAGGCAGGCAAGUCAAGUAAGGAAGAUCUCAAAAGACACAGCGACACAUGCUAACCAUUCACAUUCCCUACCUAUGGACUCAGGUUGAGUAGGAGAUUAAUAAUUCAUCUUGCCUUGAGAUAAAGCACAUCAAAUAUGGCAGCACUUGAGGGAGUGCUCUACAGACUUGGUGCAAGAUAAUCACCAGAUGGGAGCUCUCUUCACUAGAAGAAGGUACAAAAUGUCAAGGGCAUUUUUUGAUAAAAAAUCCCAUAAGUGCUUUUGGGAUUCAUUGUAGGUGUUUGGACCACAGCCUGGCUGUGACACAAUCCGAGCCUUUGCCUUUGCUCUCUGUUCAUCUGUGCCAUGCAGUAACUGCCCUGAGCUGGGGGACUCAGAGCAGUGACAUUCUGCCUGAGGAAUAAGGACACACUCAGUGCUGCUAGCAGGCACCUUACAGCACCUUUCAUCAAAAACCAGCUGGAAGAUGGACAAACACAGGGGGAAUCCUGCCCCACAGAACUAAAGCCCUUCCCACCUGAAUGGAAACACUCGGCCUGUCUUCGUCAUUCAGCCCCCAGAGCAAAGCAACUGCAGUCAUGCCGUGCAAAGAGGUACUGGUGUGAGCACCCAGAACACCUGCACCUCCAGGGCUGAUGGUGAGUGUGGGAAUGGGUCCAGAAAAAGAAGACAUCCUGGGGGAGGAAAUGGGAAGAGAGAAAAGCAGUUUUCCCCCCUGAAUUCCCAAUCUCCAUCUCUGGAGUGCUGAUUGUCUGUGCCUUGUGAUUCAAUGUGUUUUGCAACCAAUGAGGUGGUGGAAUCCCUGUGCCAUCUCUCCAGGUACUCUCCAGGCUCCAGCCCUGUUCCUUAACGCAUCCAGUGCUCAGGAAGGAGAAGUUGUCCUGGCUCGAUGUGUCUUUCAGAAGCAGUUUCCUGCUACCCGAAUUGUCUUGUGCAAGGAUGGGUUGGAGGUGCACAGUGUGAAGGUCCAAGAGGGAAGGGUCAUGAGCUCCAUGCUGCUGAACAUCACUGAGAGAAGUGCGGGGACAUACACAUGUUUCUACCAGCAGAGGAGCAUGAAAAACAGGCUGAGGAGCUCUCCCCUCAGCCCUCCCUUGGACCUGCAGGUCACAGGCCUUGUGCCCAGAUCCACGGAAGAGACAGCACAUGCCGUGCUGAGGGAUCUCCUGCCGACCACGAUUCUUACUGGCCUCUGGAAUACACAGCUCUGAAGUUUGUACAUAGGACAGAAUGUCGGAAAGUGAGAGGCGAUCCACCCCUUUCUCUGCAAGAAGAAGGGGGAAAGCACAGCAGAGGUGACACUUAUCAAUAAAAGCAUGAAAUCCUUCU
rnacentral:lncRNA from 7 species